UACAGAGGUGGCAAGCGUUGUUCGGAAUUACUGGGCGUAAAGCGCGUGUAGGCGGCUCUUCAAGUCAGGCGUGAAAGCCCCGGGCUCAACCCGGGAAGUGCACUCGAUACUGCCAAGCUAGAGUAUCGGAGAGGUUGGUGGAAUUCUCGGUGUAGAGGUGAAAUUCGUAGAUAUCGAGAGGAACACCGGUGGCGAAGGCGGCCAACUGGACGAAUACUGACGCUGAGACUCGAAAGCGUGGGGAGCAAACAGG
rnacentral:rRNA from 1 species